UACGUAGGCAGCAAGCGUUGUUCGGAGUUACUGGGCGUAAAGGGUGCGUAGGCGGUUGUUUUAAGUUUGGUGUGAAAUCUCCCGGCUCAACUGGGAGGGUGCGCCGAAUACUGAAUGACUAGAGUGCGGGAGAGGAGAGUGGAAUUCCUGGUGUAGCGGUGAAAUGCGUAGAUAUCAGGAGGAACACCGGUGGUGUAGACGGCUCUCUGGACCGUAACUGACGCUGAGGCACGAAAGCGUGGGUAGCAAACAGG
rnacentral:rRNA from 1 species